UUCAAUUUGCGUUACGGUUACACUUUUGUUUUCAUUUAUACGCGGACCUGUUUGGAUACAUCUAGAAUUUGGAUUUAUAAAAAAAAAAACAUAAAAUCAGUGAAAGAUGAAGGUAGCUUUGGUGAUUGCUGCAUUCUGCAUUGUUGCAUGUCUCGGUGAAAACAAAACCGAUAUACGUGAAAAAAGACAAACAAAAGGACGCUUUUUGUCACUUCCUGUUCCACAAAAGUGCGCUACCCGUAAGUUUUUUUAUUCAAUAAUAAUAGCAAACACUUUGUGAUUUUGUUGAAGAUCGAUAAAAAUUCGAAAGAUACAAAUCGUCUAACCUUGUCUGUGUUGAU